GCACUCAUUCCCAAUUUCCGCCUCUGUUCCGCUCAAAAAAAAAAAAGAAAGAGAAAACCGCAGAUCUCCUCCAGUCCUCCUUCCCGAGCCGGCGGCUCCUCUCCUCCUUCCCGAGCCGGCGAUCCUCCGACGACCUUACUCUGCUCCCGCCGUCAGACCCGUGACCCGUCCUUCAGGCUUCACCCCAUCAGACUACAGUACACUAUGACGGGAGAUGACAAAAACCGAGUAAGGAUUAGAAAACAAAACUCUGGAGCUCAUAAUAGAAGAGUCAAGCAACGUCAAGAUGAAAUGGCAAAAUCACUACUUGAGUAUGAUGACUUAAUUGAAGAAUUCGCUUCAAAAAAUUCAAGGAGAAGUAUUUUUCUUUGAUGGGAAUUGUAGCACAAAUGUAAUCUCUUCUUAUAUGAAUAUUGAUUUUGCAUUAGUAUUAUCAGUUUGAGCCCAAUAUAGAACGUUAAAUUGUAUUA